rnacentral:rRNA from 1 species
AGUGAACGCUGGCGGCAGGCCUAACACAUGCAAGUCGAACGGCAGCACAAUAUGAGCUUGCUGUUACGUGGGGCGAGGGGCGGACGGGUGAGAUAUACAUCGGAAUCUACUUUUUCGGGGGGGAUAUCGUAGGGAAACUUACGCUAAUACCACAUACGACGUACGGGUGAAAGCAGGGGAGCAUGGGCCCUUGCGCGAGUGACUGAGCAGAUGUCGGAUUAGCUAGUUGGAGGGGUAAAGGCACACCAAGGCGACGAUCCGUAGCUGGUCUGAGAGGAUGAUCAGCCACACUGGAACUGAGACACGAUCCAGACUCCUACGGGAGGCAGCAGUGGGGAAUAUUGGACAAUGGGCGAAAGCCUGAUCCAGCCAUGCCGCGUGUGUGAAGAAGGCCUUCGGGUUGUAAAGCCCUUUUGUUGGGAAAGAAAAGCAGCAGGUUUAUACCUCGCGUUGCUGACGGUACCGAAAGAAUAAGCACCGGCUAACUUCGUG